GAGCCCGUGGCUCAAUGGUAGAGCGUUCGACUCAAAUACCAAAGGUCGCGGAGCGUUCGCCUCAAAUACCAAAGGUCGCGGGUUCG
rnacentral:tRNA from 1 species